AGAACGAACGCUGGCGGCAGGCUUAACACAUGCAAGUCGAACGCUCCUAGCAAUAGGGGAGUGGCAGACGGGUGAGUAACGCGUGGGAACAUACCCUCCGGUUCGGAAUAACUCAGGGAAACUUGAGCUAAUACCGGAUACGGCCUUUAGUCGAAGGAUUGGCGGCGAAAGAUUUAUCGCCGGAGGAUUGGCCCGCGUCCGAUUAGCUAGUUGGUGUGGUAAUGGCGCACCAAGGCGACGAUCGGUAGCUGGUCUGAGAGGAUGAUCAGCCACAUUGGGACUGAGACACGGCCCAAACUCCUACGGGAGGCAGCAGUGGGGAAUAUUGGACAAUGGGCGCAAGCCUGAUCCAGCCAUGCCGCGUGAGUGAUGACGGCCUUAGGGUUGUAAAGCUCUUUCGCUAGGGACGAUAAUGACGGUACCUAGACAAGAAGCCCGGCUAACUUCGUGCCAGCAGCCGC
rnacentral:rRNA from 1 species